GAUGCUACUGGGGCUAGGACCACACUUUGAGGAUCACUACCCUAGGAAGCUUUUGUUUUCACAGAGUGGUGUACCUUCCAGGUACCUAAAGGAUCCUGGGAGCACAGAGCCAAUUUUUCCAAGCCCAUCGACAGAUCUACCCUGCCUCCUAUACCAAGACAGGGUAUUCCCAGAAGUACAAUCCCUAAGGACAAAUAUCCUGACCUCUCCGCAAAGUCAUUCCUCUCAGAACUAAAAGAGGUUACUCACAUUCUCAGGUUAUGAGCUCCUUGAAGGCAAGC
rnacentral:lncRNA from 10 species